rnacentral:lncRNA from 1 species
UAAAACCAGGUAUCAGUGGAAACAAAAGUCAGAGUGGAACAAUAAAUUGACUUUGCAACAGAUCGUUUUUCGUGACAUUGGAAAUCUUACGGUUGCAGAAAAGUUUUGAUUUUAGAAAGGGACCUUUAAGUGUUUGGAUACAAAAACAUACACUAUGCUCGAAAUGUUUCUGAGAUUACUUCUAGUGUUUGUAGCUUUGUGGAUGGUAGCAAAAGCACAAUGGCAAGGCUUUUAUGGUAAUUAUGGUGGAUGGUUUAAUGGUUUUGAUGACAUGGAUGAUAGGUACGAUAUGUACGAUAUGGAUGAUGGAAUAAUGAAUAUGCUUGGAGGAGGGAUAGGGUCAUAUUGGGAUUAGCGAAUCUGUCUGUCGUUCGUGUGGUGUUGUCAAAUGAUAAGAAUUGAAAUAUGAAACAUCUUAGACAUCACUUGGCAUAAUGAAUGAACUUUCAAAUCACGAGUGCCACUUUUAUGUGUUAUACAUUUAUAUUGAAAUAAAAAAUUGAUUUACUUUUA